rnacentral:rRNA from 1 species
AGUGAACGCUGGCGGUAGGCCUAACACAUGCAAGUCGAACGGCAGCACAGGAGAGCUUGCUCUCUGGGUGGCGAGUGGCGGACGGGUGAGGAAUACAUCGGAAUCUACUUUUUCGUGGGGGAUAACGUAGGGAAACUUACGCUAAUACCGCAUACGACCUACGGGUGAAAGCAGGGGACCUUCGGGCCUUGCGCGAUUGAAUGAGCCGAUGUCGGAUUAGCUAGUUGGCGGGGUAAAGGCCCACCAAGGCGACGAUCCGUAGCUGGUCUGAGAGGGGGAUCGGCCACACUGGAACUGAGACACGGUCCAGACUCCUACGGGAGGCAGCAGUGGGGAAUAUUGGACAAUGGGCGCAAGCCUGAUCCAGCCAUGCCGCGUGGGUGAAGAAGGCCUUCGGGUUGUAAAGCCCUUUUGUUGGGAAAGAAAUCCAGCUGGCUAAUACCCGGUUGGGAUGACGGUACCCAAAGAAUAAGCACCGGCUAACUUCGUGCCAGCCGCCGCGGUAA